CCUACGGGAGGCAGCAGUGAGGAAUAUUGGUCAAUGGGCGAGAGUCUGAACCAGCCAAGUAGCGUGAAGGAUGACUGCCCUAUGGGUUGUAAACUUCUUUUAUAAGGGAAUAAAGUGUUCCACGUGUGGGUUUUUGUAUGUACCUUAUGAAUAAGGAUCGGCUAACUCCGUGCCAGCAGCCGCGGUAAUACGGAGGAUCCGAGCGUUAUCCGGAUUUAUUGGGUUUAAAGGGAGCGUAGGUGGGUUGUUAAGUCAGUUGUGAAAGUUUGCGGCUCAACCGUAAAAUUGCAGUUGAUACUGGCAGUCUUGAGUACAGUUGAGGUGGGCGGAAUUCGUGGUGUAGCGGUGAAAUGCUUAGAUAUCACGAAGAACUCCGAUUGCGAAGGCAGCUUACUGGACUGCCACUGACACUGAGGCUCGAAAGUGUGGGUAUCAAACAGGAUUAGAUACCCCAGUAGUC
rnacentral:rRNA from 1 species